rnacentral:lncRNA from 1 species
UUUUUUUUUUUUUUUGUCUCUAUCCAGACGUUAAUUAGAUCCUGCCCUCAGGAGAUGACGUGUCCCAUCCUGGUGGCCUCAGCUCUCAUCUGUCCCUCCUUCUGUUAGCUGGUGCUCAGACAGGGGUUUGGGGAAAAGGCAGACAGCAGUAUGACCCUGCCUGUCCCCUGGGCAAAUGCAGAUGAGACUCCAAGUUCCCUUUGCUGUCACAGCUCCACCUUUGCCCCAGGAAUGGAUGCUGAUACUCCAAUCUCUGUCCCCAGGAACCUACCUCGUGCCAUCUUCAUUUCCAUCCCACUGGUCACCUUUGUGUACACAUUCACCAAUGUUGCCUACUUCACUGCCAUGUCCCCCCAGGAGCUGCUGUCCUCCAACGCAGUGGCUGUGACCUUCGGCGAGAAGCUGCUGGGCUACUUUUCGUGG